UUAAAUUAUUAAGGGCGCACGGCGAAUGCCUUGGCACUAGAAGCCGAAGAAGGACGUGACAAACAACGAUAUGCUUCGGGGAGCUGUAAGUAAACUUUGAUCCAGAGAUUUCCGAAUGGGGAAACACACCAGGAGUAAUUGACAAGUUAUCCAAAAAUGAAUACAUAGUAUGACAGAAAGCAACCCGGUGAACUGAAACAUCUUAGUAACCGGAGGAAAAGAAAGAAAAAUCGAUUCCCUAAGUAGUGGCGAGCGAAAAGGGAAUAGCCCAAACCAGUCUUAGGACUGGGGUUGUAGGACCAUGAACAUGAAGUUACAAAUCUUUAUUAUAGUCGAAUAAUUUGGAAAAAUUAAUCAUAGAAGGUAACAAUCCUGUAGGCGAAAUAAUAAAGACUUCUCAUGGUAUCCUGAGUACGGCGGAACACGUGUAAUUCCGUCGGAAUCUGCGGGGACCAUCCCGUAAGGCUAAAUACUCUCUAGUGACCGAUAGUGAACAAGUACCGUGAGGGAAAGUUGAAAAGAACCCCGGGAGGGGAGUGAAAUAGAUAGUGAAACCGUAUGCUUACAAAAAGUCAGAGCCCGUUAAUGGGUGAUGGCGUGCCUUUUGCAGAAUGAACCGGCGAGUUAUUGUAUCAUGCAAGGUUAAGUUGAAAAGACGGAGCCGAAGCGAAAGCAAGUCUUAAUAGGGCGAAUUAGUAUGUAGUAUUAGACCCGAAACCGAGUGAUCUAGCCAUGAGCAGGUUGAAGGUACCGUAACAGGUACUGGAGGACCGAACCGACGUACCCGGAAACGUGCGCGGAUGACUUGUGGCUAGCGGUGAAAUUCCAAACGAACUCGGAUAUAGCUGGUUCUCCCCGAAAUAGGUUUAGGCCUAGCCUUGAGAUUAAGCGCCACGGAGGUAGAGCACUGAAUAUACAAUGGCCCCAUCUAGGGGUACUGAGUGUAAUCAAACUCCGAAUGCCGUGGUUGUAUGCUCAGGAGUCAGCGUGUGGGUGAUAACGUCCAUACGCGAAAGGAAAAGAGUCCAAGAUCGCCGAUUAAGGUCCCAAAAUUUGUGCUAAGUGGGAAAGGAUGUAGAGUUGUCAAAACAGCUAGGAGGUUGGCUCAGAAGCAGCCAUCCUUUAAAGAGUGCGUAAUAGCUCACUAGUCGAGUGACACUGCGCCGAAGAUGUACCGGGGCUAAGCACAAUACCGAAAUCGCGGAUUCAUAGUUUACUAUGAGUGGUAGGGGAGCGUUCCAAGGGCGUUGAAGGUUGACCGUGAGGACAGCUGGAGCGCUUGGAAGUGAGAAUGCCGGUGUGAGUAGCGCAAGAUGGGUGAGAAUCCCAUCCACCGUUUGACUAAGGGUUCCUGGGGCAGGUUCGUCCUCCCAGGGUUAGUCGGGUCCUAAGACGAGGCCGAAAGGCGUAGUCGAUGGACAACAGGUUGAUAUUCCUGUACUACCUAUAUAACUGAUGGAGUGACGGAGAAGGAUAGCAAGAGCCUAUUAAUGGAUUUAGGUUUAAGCGCAAAGGUUAGUGAGUAGGCAAAUCCGCUACACUGUAAGACUGAAACGUGAUGACGAUGAUUCCUUCGGGGAUUAAAGUCUUGUGACUCCAAGCUUCCAAGAAAAACUUCUAAAGAUAUGACAUAGGUACCUGUACCGCAAACCACCACAGGUGGUCAAGGAGAGAAUCCUAAGGUGAGCGAGAGAACUAUGGUUAAGGAACUCGGCAAAAUGGCCCCGUAACUUAGGGAUAAGGGGAGGUCUCUUCGGAGACCCGCAGUGAAUAGUCCCAGGCAACUGUUUACCAAAAACACAGGUUUCUGCAAAAGCGCAAGCUGAAGUAUAGGAGCUGACGCCUGCCCAGUGCUGGAAGGUUAAGAUGAUUUGUUAGGUGGACGAAAGUCGAUAACACCGAAGCAAUGACUUGAAGCCCCAGUGAACGGCGGCCGUAACUAUAACGGUCCUAAGGUAGCGAAAUUCCUUGUCAGGUAAGUUCUGACCCGCACGAAAGGCGUAAUGAUCUGGGAGCUGUCUCAACCAUAGACUCGGUGAAAUCUUAAUACCUGUGAAAAUGCAGGUUACCCGCAGCAGGACGAAAAGACCCCAUGGAGCUUUACUGUAGGUUGAUAUUGGGAUCAGGUAGUAGUUGUAGAGGAUAGG
rnacentral:rRNA from 1 species